rnacentral:misc_RNA from 1 species
AUAAAUACCUUGUAUCUCAUUCAACAAAAUACAUAAAAUAUUCUCUACACAUAUCUAUAUAUGUGUUUGGAUUGAUGGGUAGGUGUGAGAUCUCUGUUUCUUUUUUCUUUUUAACUUUUUCGUUGGAAAAUUGCUGUCUAGUAACGUCGGUUGUCUCCAACAACUAUCCAACAUGCGCAUGCCGUUCCACGCCUCAACAGAAUCCUAUUGACCUACCCUAGAGUCGGUUUCACCAGAAUUUGCUUCAAGUGAAACCACAAAGUUAAAGUUACAGAAACUUGAGGUAUUUCUUUAGAUUUUAGCUUGUUUCACUUCAUUCUAAACAAGGAAGAAAAAGCCUUUUCAACUUUUAAUUUUCGACUAUCUUUCAGCUUCUAUUGAAAAGAAAUGGAAGAUUGUAAAGAGAAUGUUGGGUUGAAAUUAAUGGAAGAUUGUAAAAAAUAUGCUGGGUUGAAAAGUUAAUAAAAAAGGGGAUUUGAUGCUUUAUUGUAUCCGUUAUUAUGAUAAUUUCUAGCUUGCACUGUAUCUUCAGUUUUGGUCUAAUUAGAUUAUUAAAGUUAAUGAAGUUAGGUUUUUUGCAAUAUACUUGUAUUUCCAAUUUCGGUUUUAUUUGAUGAUUGAAGUUUUGCUGCAUGUGUAUAUGUUAAUUUUAGUAUAAGCAAAUUUGGAUGAGAUUUUGUGGGUAGGGGACCGGUAUUGGUUGUUGCGAUGGAAGUGAUAAGGAUGGAAUGAGAUAAGGAUUGUUGACUUCUUUAUACAAGUUAUAGUUUAUUUGUUUAAUCUUAUGUAGUUAGUGGCAAUCCUAACUUAAAAUGUACAAUAAAAAUUGAAACUUUCCCAGAGAAAGAUGAUUAACUGUUUCUGAGGUUAAUUUCCCCGUUCAUCAAGGUCUUAUUUGCAUGUCAAUACUGCUACGAACUCAUACCGCUUGUUAUAUUUCAGGAGAGUUAAGGUGAUCAAUUUGCUGUUACUAUAAUGGAAUCCAAAUUUUUUCGGUUUCUUAAGAUAGUGGGUGUUGGAUACAAAGCAAGGGCUGAAGCAGAAGGACGCCUCUUAUUUCUCAAAUUGGGAUACAGUCAUGAGGUUGAACUCACAGUUCCUCUCGCUGUUCGUGUUUUCUGCUUCAAGAACAAUGUAGUUUGUUGCACUGGAAUUGACAAGCAAAGAGUGCAUCAGUUUGCUGCUUCUGUUCGUAGUUGCAAACCUCCUGAAGUUUACAAAGGUAAGGGUAUCAUGUACAUCGAUGAAGUGAUCAAGAAGAAACAAGGAAAGAAAUCAAAAUGAUGGGGGCAAUUCUGCACGAUGCCGAUAGCAAAGUGUUUUGCCUAAUUCCAUGCGUUGGACUUACAAUGUCUUGUUUUGUCAAAAAAGUUCAAUUUCUGGGAUUCAAACAUUGGAAUUUUGUGAUUUAGAAGGCAUUUAAAUUAGCAAUAAGUUUUUGCAAUAGUGUUUUGGUUGUUCUAUGUGAGAUUUUUUGCUUUUUGUUCAAGACCUUUUUAUCAUUACAUGCUAGAUAAAUAAUGUUUCCUGAUAUAAAAUCACUUAAGUUGUGAUCAGUGUUUCACAUGCUGAUGAAUGUUGUUGGAAAAGAAAAGCAGAAUGUCA